rnacentral:rRNA from 1 species
GUAGGUGGCAAGCGUUGUCCGGAAUUAUUGGGCGUAAAGCGCGCGCAGGCGGUCCUUUAAGUCUGAUGUGAAAGCCCACGGCUCAACCGUGGAGGGUCAUUGGAAACUGGGGGACUUGAGUACAGAAGAGGAAAGCGGAAUUCCAAGUGUAGCGGUGAAAUGCGUAGAGAUUUGGAGGGACACCAGUGGCGAAGGCGGCUUUCUGGUCUGUAACUGACGCUGAGGCGCGAAAGCGUGGGGAGCAAACAGGAUUAGAUACCCUGGUAGUCCACGCCGUAAACGAUGAGUGCUAAGUGUUAGGGGGUUUCCCGCCCCCCUUAGUGCUGCAGCUAACGCAUUAAGCACUCCGCCUGGGGAGUACGGCCGCAAGGCUG